rnacentral:misc_RNA from 1 species
AAGUCGUAACAAGGUUUCCGUAGGUGAACCUGCGGAAGGAUCAUUAUUGAAUUUAGAGUGGCGCUUCGGCGUACUCCAUUGACAAAUCCAUAACACCUGUGAACUGUUGGAUGCGCAAGCGUCUUUACCACAAACAUUAUUGUAACAAAUGUAGUCUUAUUAUAACGAAUAAAACUUUUAACAACGGAUCUCUUGGCUCUC